rnacentral:tRNA from 1 species
UGUGUUGUAGGUCAGUGGUAGAGUGCUUACCUAGCAUGCAUGAGGCACUGGGUUCAAUCCUCAGCACCACAU